AGUGAACGCUGGCGGUAGGCCUAACACAUGCAAGUCGAACGGCAGCACAGUAAGAUCUUGCUCUUACGGGUGGCGAGUGGCGGACGGGUGAGGAAUACAUCGGAAUCUACUUUUUCGUGGGGGAUAACGUAGGGAAACUUACGCUAAUACCGCAUACGACCUACGGGUGAAAGCAGUGGAUCUUCGGACCUUGCGCGAUUGAAUGAGCCGAUGUCGGAUUAGCUAGUUGGCGGGGUAAAGGCCCACCAAGGCGACGAUCCGUAGCUGGUCUGAGAGGAUGAUCAGCCACACUGGAACUGAGACACGGUCCAGACUCCUACGGGAGGCAGCAGUGGGGAAUAUUGGACAAUGGGCGCAAGCCUGAUCCAGCCAUACCGCGUGGGUGAAGAAGGCCUUCGGGUUGUAAAGCCCUUUUGUUGGGAAAGAAAAGCAGCAGGUUAAUACCCCGCUGUUCUGACGGUACCCAAAGAGUAAGCACCGGCUAACUUCGUG
rnacentral:rRNA from 1 species